GGAAGAGCGGGCAAUUACAACACCAACGAUGACAAGUUACUAUGCAAUACUUAUUCGCAAGUGUCGAGGGAUCCAUUCGUUGGAGGUGAUCAAAGUAGAGAUGCGUAUUGGGGGCGAAUGAAAGAAUACUUUGAUGCUCACAACGUGAGUGGAAUUGACCGUUCCGGGAGAUCACUUCGGUCCCGAUGGUCGACAAUCAACUCGGAUUGUCAAAAGUGGGCGGCCGCACAAAAGGCAGUUGACAAGAUUAACCCAAGUGGCACAAAUGAGGAUGAUAGAAACUUGUUCAAAGAAGAGACGAGGACAACCAAGAAGGGGAAGAUCAAGAAAGGAAGGAUCUUUACCUUGCCUCAUUGCUAUGAAGUGUUAAAGGAUGAUGAGAAAUGGAAGAAGCGUGAUGGUUUGGAUGAUUUGCAUUUGAGCAACAAACGCAAGCGAACAAUUGAGUUGAAUGAGGAGGAGGAGGAGGAGGAUGAUGCAUCAAGUGAUGACGGCAAGAGAAGCCUCACACCCAACUCGGUUUCAUACUCGAAGCCAAAACGACCGGAUGGGUGCAAGAAAGACAAAACCGAAAAGAAGAAGAGGAAAGGAGAUGAUGAGCUCAAAAUUGCUAUGAAAGCUAUUGUGAAGGCAAGAAAAGAAGCCAACAAGGUGAGGAAAAUGGUAAGGAACCAAGAUGCUGCGGCCGAGGAGAGGAGGUUGGCGGCCGAGGAGAGGAGGGUGGCCGCCGAGGAGAGGAAAGUGGCAUUGGAGGAGACGAAGGUGUGCAUGGAGGAGCGAUCUAGGUUGUUGGAAUGGGAGAAACACUUGUUCUUCUUGGACACAUCUUUGUUCAAUGAUGCGCAAAAAGAAUAUGUCAACUUUGCCCGUGAAGAAGUCUUGAUCCAAAAAAGAGCC
rnacentral:rRNA from 1 species